rnacentral:rRNA from 1 species
AUACGUAGGUGGCAAGCGUUGUCCGGAAUUAUUGGGCGUAAAGGGCGUGUAGGUGGAUUCUUAAGUCGUGUGUCUAAGUGCGGGGCUCAACCCCGUAUAGGCGCAGGAAACUGGGAAUCUUGAGUGCAGGAGAGGAAAGUGGAAUUCCCAGUGUAGCGGUGAAAUGCGUAGAUAUUGGGAGGAACACCAGUGGCGAAGGCGACUUUCUGGACUGUGUCUGACACUGAAGCACGAAAGUCAGGGGAGC